AUGGUAGACAAAAAUCACUACACUGAUGGCUCCGAAUUAACUUAUAAGGAGAAAAGUCAUCUGAUUGCUUAUUGCACUUAUCUUGAGAAUUACAAUACCUAUUAUCGAACUCCUCCAAAUUAUGGUGAAUACGUGCCACUAGUGCACGUGUUGAACCACGGUAACUUCUAUGGAGAUACCCUGGUAAGAUUUUUUACUAUUACGACAUCAGUGCAUCUUUUGCAUACUUCUAAAACUAGUACAUCAUUGCUAACUACGAAGUUAUUACUAUGUUUUUCAACAGAAAAUCCUGAUGCAUUUGUGCCUCAUCUGAUGUAUCAGAAUGGUCGCCUUGCAGUUCUGAACAUACAGCCAGGUCAAUCUAAGGAGCUCACCUGUGCAUAUCAGAUUUCUAAAACCGGUGAACACAUGCUAAUCAAAGAAUGGAAAAAAUAUUUGGACAUUCGCAAGGAGGUUCUUGGAAGUAACAUUAAGCGAAAGGCAAGAAUUGGAGACAGGAUAAUCUCCAUUCUCCAUAAUGGAGAGUCAGGGGCUAUCUAG
rnacentral:rRNA from 1 species